UACGGAGGGUGCAAGCGUUAUCCGGAUUCACUGGGUUUAAAGGGUGCGUAGGUGGGCAGGUAAGUCAGUGGUGAAAUCUCCGGGCUUAACCCGGAAACUGCCGUUGAUACUAUUUGUCUUGAAUAUUGUGGAGGUAAGCGGAAUAUGUCAUGUAGCGGUGAAAUACUUAGAUAUGACAUAGAACACCAAUUGCGAAGGCAGCUUACUACACAAUGAUUGACACUGAGGCACGAAAGCGUGGGGAUCAAACAGG
rnacentral:rRNA from 1 species